rnacentral:rRNA from 1 species
GAUGAACGCUGGCGGCGUGCCUAAUACAUGCAAGUCGAGCGAACAGAUAAGGAGCUUGCUCCUUUGACGUUAGCGGCGGACGGGUGAGUAACACGUGGGUAACCUACCUAUAAGACUGGAAUAACUCCGGGAAACCGGGGCUAAUGCCGGAUAACAUUUAGAACCGCAUGGUUCUAAAGUGAAAGAUGGUUUUGCUAUCACUUAUAGAUGGACCCGCGCCGUAUUAGCUAGUUGGUAAGGUAACGGCUUACCAAGGCAACGAUACGUAGCCGACCUGAGAGGGUGAUCGGCCACACUGGAACUGAGACACGGUCCAGACUCCUACGGGAGGCAGCAGUAGGGAAUCUUCCGCAAUGGGCGAAAGCCUGACGGAGCAACGCCGCGUGAGUGAUGAAGGUCUUCGGAUCGUAAAACGCUGUUAUUAGGGAAGAACAAAUGUGUAAGUAACUGUGCACGUCUGGACGGUACCUAAUCAGAAAGCCACGGCUAACUACGU